CCCCUCUGGCAAUGGGCAAAGAGACACCUUGGUGGUGGUGGUGUUCCUAUAUAGGUCAGGGCAGGGCAGAUGGCAGGCCUUUGCUCAUCCUAGCUUGAUGCCUGGCUUGGUGGCCAAAGAUGGUUUAUGCCUAGGACUCAUAA